GCUGGGUGCAGUGGCACACACCUGUAAUCCCAGCAUCUUGGGAGGCUGAGACAGGAGGAUCACGAGUUCAAAGCCAGCCUCAGCAAAAGAAAGACACUAAGCAACACAGUUGACUCUGUCUCUA
rnacentral:sRNA from 1 species